UGGGCUUAUAAAAAGAUAAUACAUCGAUUUGGUUCAAAAAACAAUCACCGGGUUUAAUGUCCAUAACAACCAAAAUGAAUUGCCAUGGCAACAAUCAUGUCAACAUGCAAUAAAAAUUUCAAUCACAGUCUCUCGCAGGUAGUAAUCAGAAAUUGAUAAAUAUCAUAUAACAAACAAUAGACGUAGACUUUGUCCUGGUUAUUAACCUUUCUAAUCCUGAUAGAGCAUGCAAGAGCAUAAAAUAUACUGUUUCAAACAAAUAGGCAUUUU
rnacentral:lncRNA from 1 species